rnacentral:lncRNA from 1 species
UGAAAAUAACAGACUCGCCACUUCUCGAAGAAAUCUGAAAACGGCGCAUCUCCCCCAUUUUGGUUUGCUCCAUUCCUUCUUCUUCUAAUAAAUGACAAUAAACAUACCCCAAUCCCAAAAUGAGUUGCUAAGCUAAAGCAAGAACCAUCAGAUCCUUCUCUUUCUCAAGAUAAACGAUCAUCAGACCCCAUUUUAGAGAGUCGUAGCCGCUUUUUCUUUCUUUGAUGUUGCUAUAUGAAGAACAUAUCCAAAUUUUGACAGGAUAUUGUUCUGCCCGCU